UACGUAGGGUCCGAGCGUUGCUCGGAAUCAUUGGGCGUAAAGCGCACGUAGGCGGCCUGACAAGUCGGGUGUGAAAGCCCUGGGCUCAACCCAGGAAGUGCACUCGAAACUGCCAGGCUUGAAUAUGAAGAGGGGUCGCGGAAUUCCCGGUGUAGAGGUGAAAUUCGUAGAUAUCGGGAGGAACACCAGUGGCGAAGGCGGCGACCUGGGGCCGAAUAUUC
rnacentral:rRNA from 1 species